rnacentral:lncRNA from 1 species
UUGUUGCAUUGUAAGGCCGUUUAUUUCAUAAUUUAUUGCUUAUAAUGUCGAGUGCCCGGGAGCACGCUUUCGUCUGACGUGGAAUCCGGAAGCUCGAAUCCGAAGAUUCUUAUUAUAGUUACGAUAUUUAUUAUUACAGGAAUGCUAGAUACUUAGCGCCAGGUAUACCACAAAUUACACGCACCGUCUGACCCGGUUUGGAGUGCAAUAAACUGUCCUCGGCGCCAGGUGGGUAUUAGUCCGUCAAUCGGAACGAAUUUCAGGUUCGGAAACAAAUGGAUGGACAAGAUAGACGACGUCGUAAUGCUGGUGUUUGCAGAGGAGCGGCGAAAAGAUAGAAAGACAUCGAAGUCUUCGAUCCACGACUGCACUAUAUCGAGGAUGAAGAAGCACGAAUUUCGUUAUUUGGACGAUUUCGACGGUUUCAUUACAACAUAUUCUUACAAACACUUCUCGCCGUAACAUUCACAAUUGAACCAUUAUCUAGUUUGUUCGUCGCAUCCAAUAUUUACAUAUCACGCUUCGUUAUAGUAAACGACACCGUUACAUAACACCAACACUGCUUCCCGAAAUCCAACCCGUAGGUCCUCGUCCUGGGAAGUGGAAACGUCACUCGAUGUUUUCGAGUGGCGGCUAAAGGGGCUCUGGUACUUCUUAUGCAACUUUGUCAACACAGAUGUAAGGAUAUUUAAAAUGCUAAAACUUUCUAAAGAUAUUUUCAUUGAAGAGCAUGGAUGCUGUGUUUCAUAAGUAUAAGGGAAUCAUGUAAUUUAUAUAUAUAUGAAAAUGUUUGUUUGUUUGUAUCGCUAUACACUCCUAGGACGUUCGACCAAUUGCUACGAAACUCGGUAGUUCUAACUCAGAUCACUUCGCAUAUCCCAUCCCUGAAUAUCUAUUGAAUUUCUGUGAAUCAAUUAAUUUCUAUCUACAUUCAAUUUUCUGAUUUACACGUAGCGCCAUAUAUUGGCAAUAAAUUUAACAAAAUCAUAAAUUAAAUAUAAUUCUUUCAAAACAAAAUAUAAUUUUACAUUCGCUCAAUGGACAUAGCUAUUGCUUCAUCUGUAUCAAAGCCAACAGUAAAAAAAAAAAUUGCAAUAAAAAUACAAAUUUAAAAAUUAAAACAGUAAAGCACGUUGAAACUUUACUAAUCAAAAUUAAAUAUAAAAUUAUAAAAAUUCAUGUAGCGGCUUGCAAAUGAAGAUCUGCAAGCCGCUACCAAGAAAAAAGCAUCUGGACAUCGCCUCACAUCUACACACAAACAGAACCGAAAUACUAACGCAAGGAAGCUCUAUGAGAAUCAUCUGGCUGGAGGAAAAAGCAAGUUCAUGACCAUCCUAGAUGAAGCGUAUAUAUUCCUUGAUUAUUGUAAUGGAACUUGAAAAAUUCUGUACGUGUAGCCCGGACAGGAAGUGCCAGAACAAUGACUUCUCAAAUGUUACGAAAGAUGGCCUGAAGAUUUAUGAUUGUUGGAGGAAUGACGGGCCAGGAACACUUCCCCUUAACACAGUGCCAAAAACUGUGAAAGUUAACGCUACUUACUAUGUGGAAAACAUUUUGAAACUAUAUUUGGAACGUAAGAUUCCAAAGCUGUAUCCUGGAGAAGCUAAAGCGACUCUUCACCAUGACAAAGCGUCUAGUCACACAGCUAGAUAUACAACCACUUAUCUCCAGAAGUUGAAGGCUGACUGUCGACCGAAACAAAUUCCUGUAGAGGACAUACCCAUCAAAGCACUUGACAUCAGCCUCAUGGAUUUCCUCGGAUUUGACUUUCUGAAGCAACGUUUUUCUUCGUAAGGCUACAACAUUAGAUGAUCUUUGAAAAGUAAUUCAACAGGAGUGGUCAUCGGUAUCGGUCGAAACUUACAAGGUCUUCGAAUCAUGGAGACGACGACGUCAUGCUGUGAGCCAACGAGAUGGAGAACACAUCGAGCAGACAAAGACGAUUCAUCGACGGGUGCUUCGUGAAAUAAAUUAAACGAAAAAGUGAGUCACAACUUGAAAAUCACCCUCUGUAUUCUAAUUCGUUGAGUAAACGUAAGCAAAGGAAAGAAAUUGUGAGGAGUGUAUUGAUAUUCGCUUUUACUCCGAAGAGAAGAGAGACAGGAGAUAGAUCGCAAGGCGACAGAAGAGCUAGCCUUAUAGAAGACGGCCAGAAGAUACACGAAGGGAGAUAAAAUGCCUUCCGGGAGGACUUUUUUGGGUAGCUGGCCCCUAUUUAGGCGUCAUCUACAAGGAGAAAACCCGGAAAACUCCAAGCUGCCAGCCUGUCCAAUCGAGGCGCGAAUCCGCAACCGAACGCCCAGUGUUUAGGGUCUAGUCACCGCCGCUAUGAGCGGAGACGGAGUCUACUCGGCUACUGGUUGGAACAAGACAUUGCUUUCUUUAACCCUUUAUUUAAACGUUUCUAAACAAGACAAAAUAUUCUGUAGCGUUUUCAGAUUUACGUAAGAAGAGUGCGUAUUAAUUUGUUAAACGAGUUAAAAGUUGAAAAUCUUAUAUAAAAUAGGUAUUAAAGUACAAGAAAAACGGAACGUAAAUUGUCUGAUUACUUCGAAAAUGAGGAGUUUCCC